GCCAUUUUUCUUUAGGGCACAUCUGUCAUUGAACCUGGCUUCGUGCCCUAGUUACUCAGCCAAGAUUUUUAAUUCCUAGUCCUGCUAACCACGUGGACAUGGACGGUUCAUCGGAUUCCCAACCAAACACCAGUUCUGGAACAAAGCAAACCAAAAUUAUGUCUGACAAGGACUGGAUACAGAAAUGGGAAAAAAAGGAGAUUGGAUUUCAUGAAGAGAAAGUACAUAAAUUACUUGCGGAGUUUUUGGAGAUCAUGCUGCAUAACAGAAAACAAAUUACCAUCUUUUUCCCUCUUUGUGGGAAAGCAGUCGAUAUGAAAUGGU